rnacentral:tRNA from 1 species
GGCCCCGUAGCAUAGCCUGGAGAUCCUUCCCCUUUCCCUGUAAGAAAGGUAAUCGGGCAUUGGUGCGUCCGACUGAUAAUCGGAAGGUCCGGAGUUCAAAUCUCCGCGGGGCCA